AUUGAACGCUGGCGGCAGGCCUAACACAUGCAAGUCGAGCGGAUGAAGGGAGCUUGCUCCUGGAUUCAGCGGCGGACGGGUGAGUAAUGCCUAGGAAUCUGCCUGGUAGUGGGGGAUAACGUCCGGAAACGGGCGCUAAUACCGCAUACGUCCUGAGGGAGAAAGUGGGGGAUCUUCGGACCUCACGCUAUCAGAUGAGCCUAGGUCGGAUUAGCUAGUUGGUGGGGUAAAGGCCUACCAAGGCGACGAUCCGUAACUGGUCUGAGAGGAUGAUCAGUCACACUGGAACUGAGACACGGUCCAGACCCCUACGGGAGGCAGCAGUGGGGAAUAUUGGACAAUGGGCGAAAGCCUGAUCCAGCCAUGCCGCGUGUGUGAAGAAGGUCUUCGGAUUGUAAAGCACUUUAAGUUGGGAGGAAGGGCAGUAAGUUAAUACCUUGCUGUUUUGACGUUACCAACAGAAUAAGCACCGGCUAACUUCGU
rnacentral:rRNA from 1 species